rnacentral:rRNA from 1 species
AUGGACGACGGUGGCCGGGUGCUGACAGUUCCCCUCCUGGUGCUCCUGCUGGUCAGCCUCGCUGGCUCGAGCCCUCCGCCGGCGCCGGUGGUCUGUGCCCACGGCACGUCCGAUUGCACUGUCUCCAACGCGUACGGCUCCUUCCCGGACCGCACCGUCUGCCACGCCGCCAACGCCACCUUCCCGCGCACCGAGAAGGAGCUAGUUGCGGCCGUGGCAGCAGUGGCGGCGGCCAAGCGCAAGGUGAAGGUGGCCACCAAGCACUCCCACAGCUUCCCCAAACUGGCCUGCCCCGGCGGCCGCGAUGGCACGAUCAUAAGCACGGAGCGCCUCAACCGGGUGGUAAGCGUGGACGCCGUCAAGGGGCUUAUGACGGUGGAAAGCGGCAUGGUGCUCCGCGACCUGAUCCAGGCGGCUGCCGAGGCAGGGCUCGCGCUGCCGCACUCGCCGUACUGGUCAGGGCUCACCAUCGGAGGCCUGCUGGCCACGGGCGCGCACGGCAGUUCGCUCAAGGGUAAGGGUGGCGCCGUUCACGAGUACGUGGUUGGGAUGAGGAUCGUCACGCCGGCGCCGGCGAGCCAAGGGUUCGCGGUGGUACGGGAGCUCUGCGCCGACCAUCCUGACCUCAACGCGGCCAAGGUCUCCCUCGGCGUCCUUGGCGUCGUUUCCCAGGUUACACUGGCCUUACAACCGAUGUUCAAGCGGUCGGUGACGUUCGUGACGCGUGACGACUUGGACAUUGUAGAGCAGGCAUCCAAGUGGAGCGACCUGCAUGAGUUCGGUGAUAUGGCAUGGUUGCCACAACAGGGCAAGGUUAUUUACCGCGAGGACGACCGCAUGUCCAUCGAGUUGAUGGGCGACGGCCUCAAUGACUACCUAGCCUUCCGCUCCACCCCAACGGCAGUGCUCAUCAACGCCAGAGUCGCCAUGGAGCCUCUUGAGAAGAACAUCAAUGCCAUUGCUCGGUGCAAGGCCGCUGAGGCGACAAUAUCAUUGUUUGAGAUGGCAGCAUACGGCUACUCCAACAAUGGCAGCUUGUUCACUGGGUACCCUGUGGUGGGGUUUCAACACCAGAUCCAAGCUUCUAGCGGAUGCAUCGGCAGCUCAAAAGAUGCGCUCCUCACCUCAUGCGCAUGGGACCCGCGCAUCGAGGGAACCUUCUUCUACAGCAAUGGCUACAGCAUUGCGCUCUCUAGGGUGUCGGCAUUCAUCGCCGACAUGCAGCAACUCCGUGACCGCAGCCCGCUGGCCUUCUGCGGAAUCGAUGCUAGUGUGGGUAUGCUCCUCCGCUACGUCAAAGCAUCCUCCGCCUACCUCGGCAAGCCAGAGGACUCGAUCGACUUUGAUAUAGCCUACUAUCGGAGUUACACCAAGGGUGAGCCCAACCCACACUCUGAUGUAUUCGACGAGCUCGAGCAGAUGGCACUGCACAAGUAUGACGCCAUCCCACACUGGGGCAAGAACCGCAACUUUGCCUUUGAGGGCGCCAUUGCCAUGUACCCCAAGGCAGGUGAGUUCCUGGAGGUGAAGGGCAGGUACGACCCCGACGGGAUCUUCUCCAGCGAGUGGAGCGACCAGGUGCUCGGCAUCAAUGGGAGCCCGGUCAUUGUCGAGAGGCGUUGCGCCAUCGAGGGGCUUUGCAUCUGCUCAGAAGACUCGCACUGUGCACCGGAGGAGGGCUACUACUGCCGCCCGGGGAAGGUGUACACGGAGGCGAGGGUCUGCUCGUUCGAACCCAUCUCGCACUGUGCACUGGAGGAGGGCUACUACUGCCACCCGGGGAGGUGUACACGGAGGCGAGGGUCUGCUCCUUCGAACCGGCCAUCUGAUGAAUUGUUUUUCUUUAGAUGGCAGCUUUGA